ensembl:lncRNA
CACAAGUUGAGCCCUUGUGCCAUGGGUGGGUGUGCACCUCCUCUGCAGUGCUGAUGUGUGCAUUUCUGCCAGACAGAAGUUAUCUAUUUGUUCGACGCGGGCAAUACCACCACCACCCCCAGAGCUGGGAGCUGCUCGCUCCAUCCCUGCUCCUGGGCAGCCUGAUGGUGCAGCUCCUGCCCAGGUCCAUGCUUUGACAGUAGCCACUUCCCAGGAGCCUUUCCCAACAAAAGGGCCAUUUAGCUGCUGCUGCUUCCAGUCUGAGAACAUCAGAUACUUCUUCAGGCAUCAGAAGGGCUUUACACAAAUCACAACAAUGUAUGAAGAGAUGGAAAUUCUUAGACUACGGCAGUGCACUAUGGCUGGGAAGG